AAGUCGUAACAAGGUUUCCGUAGGUGAACCUGCGGAAGGAUCAUUCAUAAUAAGUGUUUUAUGGCACUUCAAAUCCAUUACCCACCUUGUGUGCAUUGUCGGGGAGAGGACUCUCUCAAUCUCUCUCUCUCCCUCUCUCUCCUCUCUCUCUCUCACUCAGAGGGAGAGGAGGAGAAAGGGGGAGGAGAGGAGGAGGGUUCCUCUCUUCUUUCUAUACACACUGUUCUCAGUAUCAGUCUACUUCAAUUGAGUACAAAACUCGAAUACAACUUUCAACAACGGAUCUCUUGGCUCUC
rnacentral:misc_RNA from 1 species